CAAGUUAAAUUUAUUAGAUAGAGUUUCAUUUACAUUGAGAUUGAUAUCGUGCGAUUCGAUAUAAUUUGA
rnacentral:tRNA from 1 species